CAGAGGGUGCAAGCGUUGUUCGGAAUUAUUGGGCGUAAAGCGCGUGUAGGCGGCUUUGCAAGUCGGGUGUGAAAGCCCUCAGCUCAACUGAGGAGGUGCGCCCGAAACUGCAGAGCUCGAGUACCGGAGAGGAUGGCGGAAUUCCGCAAGUAGAGGUGAAAUUCGUAGAUAUGCGGAGGAACACCGGUGGCGAAGGCGGCCAUCUGGACGGAUACUGACGCUGAGACGCGAAAGCGUGGGGAGCAAACAGGAUUAGAUACCCUGGUAGUCCACGCCGUAAACGAUGAGAACUAGGUGCCGCGGGAGUUGACCCCUGCGGUGCCGUAGCUAACGCAUUAAGUUCUCCGCCUGGGAAGUACGGCCGCAAGGCUA
rnacentral:rRNA from 1 species